rnacentral:rRNA from 1 species
AUUGAACGCUGGCGGCAUGCUUUACACAUGCAAGUCGAACGGUAACAGGCCGCAAGGUGCUGACGAGUGGCGAACGGGUGAGUAAUGCAUCGGAACGUGCCCAGUCGUGGGGGAUAACGCAGCGAAAGCUGUGCUAAUACCGCAUACGAUCUGUGGAUGCAAGCGGGGGACCGGAAGGCCUCGCGCGAUUGGAGCGGACGAUGGCAGAUUAGGUAGUUGGUGGGGUAACGGCUCACCAAGCCGACGAUCUGUAGCUGGUCUGAGAGGACGACCAGCCAAACUGGGACUGAGGAACGGCCCAGAAUCCAACGGGAGGCAGCAGUGGGGAAUUUUGGACAAUGGGCGCAAGCCUGAUCCAGCAAUGCCGCGUGCGGGAAGAAGGCCUUCGGGUUGUAAACUGCUUUUGUACGGAGCGAAAAGGCUCUCUCUAAUACAGGGGGCUCAUGACGGUACCGUAAGAAGAAGCACCGGCUAACUACGUGCCAGCAGCCGCCGCAGUAA